AGCAGCCGCGGUAAUUCCAGCUCCAAUAGCGUAUAUUAAAGUUGUUGCAGUUAAAAAGCUCGUAGUUGAAUUUCGGGGUCAGUAGAUUGGUCAUGCCUCCGGUAUGCACUGGUCUUACUGAUUCCUCCUUCCUGAUGAACCGUAAUGCCAUUAAUUUGAUGUUGCGGGGAAACUGGACUGUUACUUUGAAAAAUUAGAGUGUUUAAAGCAGGCUAACGCUUGAAUACAUUAGCAUGGAAUAAUGAAAUAGGACGUUCGAUCCUAUUUUGUUGGUUUCUAGGAUUGACGUAAUGAUUAAUAGGGAUAGUUGGGGGCAUUAGUAUUCAAUUGUCAGAGGUGAAAUUCUUGGAUUUUAUUGAAGACUAAACUACUGCGAAAGCAUUUGCCAAGGAUGUUUUCAUUAAUCAAGAACGAAAGUUAGGGGAUCGAAGACGAUCAGAUACCGUCGUAGUC
rnacentral:rRNA from 1 species